GUGGAAAAUAUGACACACUCUGAGAAAGAAGUUUUAUUUCUCACUUCCAACAUGCACGUGCAGUACAACAAAAGACGGGAUAUAGAUAUGGCUUCCUAUGUGGACGACGAAGAAACGCUUUUGGUCUUGGUUUAGGAUCGAUCAGAAGGGUUCAAUGGUGCAUAUAAAUGCACGUUUUGCACGUUGUGGCAUA